rnacentral:rRNA from 1 species
AUUGAACGCUGGCGGCAGGCUUAACACAUGCAAGUCGAGCGGAGAUGAGGUGCUUGCACCUUAUCUUAGCGGCGGACGGGUGAGUAAUGCUUAGGAAUCUGCCUAUUAGUGGGGGACAACAUUCCGAAAGGAAUGCUAAUACCGCAUACGCCCUACGGGGGAAAGCAGGGGAUCUUCGGACCUUGCGCUAAUAGAUGAGCCUAAGUCGGAUUAGCUAGUUGGUGGGGUAAAGGCCUACCAAGGCGACGAUCUGUAGCGGGUCUGAGAGGAUGAUCCGCCACACUGGGACUGGAACACGGCCCAGACUCGUACGGGAGGCAGCAGUGGGGAAUAUUGGACAAUGGGCGGAAGCCUGAUCCAGCCAUGCCGCGUGUGUGAAGAAGGCCUUUUGGUUGUAAAGCACUUUAAGCGAGGAGGAGGCUACCUGGAUUAAUACUCUAGGAUAGUGGACGUUACUCGCAGAAUAAGCACCGGCUAACUCUGUGCCAGCCGCCGCGGUAAAAC